UACAGAGGGUGCAAGCGUUAAUCGGAAUUACUGGGCGUAAAGCGUGCGUAGACGGUUACGUAAGUCAGAUGUGAAAGCCCCGGGCUCAACCUGGGAACUGCGCUCGAAACGGCAGAACUAGAGUUCGGGAGAGGUGAGUGGAAUUCCUAGUGUAGAGGUGAAAUUCGUAGAUAUUCGCAAGAACACCAGUGGCGAAGGCGGCUCACUGGCCCGGUACUGACGCUGAGGUGCGAAAGCGCGGGGAGCAAACAGG
rnacentral:rRNA from 1 species